rnacentral:tRNA from 1 species
GGAGAGAUGGCUGAGUGGCUGAAGGCGCACGCUUGGAAAGCGUGUAUACGUGAAAGCGUAUCGGGGGUUCGAAUCCCCCUCUCUCCG